rnacentral:rRNA from 1 species
AUGAAAAUCCUCAGCUGGAACUGUCGGGGGCUGGGACAACCCCGAACAGUUCAAGAGAUAGUGUGCUUGGUGAGCACACAUCGUCCAUCGAUCGUCUUUCUUUCUGAAACUAGGCAAAAUAAAGAGCGGGUUAGCAGUCUUAGGCAGAGGCUAGGCCUUAAGAACUGCAUGUUGCAUGAUGGUAUAGGAAAAGGAGCAGGAAUUGCUCUGUACUGGGAUGAAUCAGUUGAAAUAAAAAAAGUUUCAGUUGGCCCGCGCUAUAUUGAUGUGUUAAUUCGUAAUAACCCAAAUGAGCAAUGGUGGAGGGGCACCUUUGUGUAUGGGGAACCAAAGGCGCAUGAGAGAGUCCAUAUGUGGAACCUCUUUGAGGAGAAUUAG